CAGCUGACCUGAGCUGGCCAAAGAGAUAUGCCACACUUCAGAAUAUCAUGCCCAUAUAUAAACUGAGGGAGCUACCUGGAAGGGGACUGAACAGGGCUGGGCCAGGUACUGCCCUGUCGUGCACAGCGUUCCAACCUUCAAGUUGUACAAGAAGAAAAGAGUGCUCUCCACUAAGGCAUUAUAGCUAUGCCAUGACACCGGCAGAGAAUAUCAAGAUAAAUGGGUUAUAGAACACUGAAGAGCUUUAUGCUUAUGUCAUCUCAUCCUGUCCUUGGAUGCCUGGGAGAAGCUGAACCCUGCACCUGGCUACAACCUCCUUUCAUCCCUGAGCCUUCUCCGGGCUAAAGAGUCUCAGCUCCCUCAGCUGCUCCUCAUGGAAAUGUGCUCCAGGCCCUUCACCUACUUUGGUACCAUUCUCUAGACUGAUGACAAAACUGGGA